UCGAAUUCAAGUGCAACGCUUUACCGCUCUGGUAACUGAUGACGUCAAAAUUGCAAUGGGGAGCUGGUUUGCUCUCGUGCCAGGAGAGCUUGUCCGAUAAACUACAUCAAUAUCCAAUGAGACUGCGUGUCGAUGUAAACAAAAAACAUCAGUUCCCAUGAUUUCUCUGAGCUUAUGGUCAAGUGUUUACUGCGUUGUAGUGUUGUGUAACGAAUUGUUCCAGUCCUGAAAACGAAAGAAAUAUAUUUCUUUUAAUGUGUACAACAUGUAUUUAAUGUGUACAACUUUAUUUACUUUAUCCUAUAGAAAAUUCCCUCCAAAGUAAACUACAGCAACAGAGUGCAGUACAAUACCACAAGUUUUCCAGCCAAAUGCGGUAUGCAUUUCAAGUUUCUAUACAUUUAUAUAAAUUUUAAGAGAGUAAAAUAUUGACAAAAACUGCAUUAAGUUUUCAACUCUUGUUUUGUUUUUCAUUAAAAAUUUGCUACCAUUAUGUAUAAUUCAUUUUUUUAAUGUAAAUGUUUUUAAGUAUUUGUAGGAUAAAGGCAAAUUACACUUAUUCAUUCUUUCUUUGAUAUAAUACAUGUAGCUCUUUACCUGAAAUUAAUGUUUGUCAAAUUGUUGUGCAUAAAUUAGAAGUAUGCAUGUUUCUCUUAAGUCAGUUAUGUUUCAGGAACUAUCUUUAAUGAAUUGUAUAGAAAAUUGUGGACGAGGUGUUAGGUGUACAGGAACGUGGUAUAUUAUAAACAUGUAUAGUAUCUCAUAGUAUAUAAACUCAUAACUUUGAUUAUGCAGUAUGCUUUGUAUAUUAUUUCUGAAAGCAUGUAUAUUUCAAUCAAGAUUGUUGAGUAAACUUUUCUUGCUUUAUGCUAUCUCUGAAAGCAUGUAUAUUUCAGUCAAGAUUGUUGAGUAAAUUGUGCUUAUUUUAUGCUUUUUUCUUUUUUACAUUAGAAAAUUCCACACCUUUAUCACGAGGAAAUCUGCAAUGGCAUUUAGAAAUGACAAAUAGAAGCUCAACUAUUUGAAGCAGGAGACCGAAGAG